rnacentral:tRNA from 1 species
GGAUAUAGCUCACUGGUACAGCACCUGCCUGGCACGCACAAGGCCCUGAGUUCAGUUCUCAGUACCA